CGUGGUGAACUGGUGAUUAGAAGCCCUUGUUCUCCGGGGAUUAUUUGGGAGAAAUCAAGUAAAUCGUAAACCCUAGUUUAUAUUAAGAAAAUUUGAUUCAUGUUAUGAU